GGACACACUGGUCCCUCCCCUAUCCUGGUGUGACCUCCCCUCCGCACUUCCCGCUCGCUCUUUGGCGCCUGCCAGCGAAUUCCCACCGAGCCAAUUUUAGCUCCAGCCUGGCCCCGGCCCCAGCCAGAGGCUCCUCGGGGCCCUUUGUGCUGCCGGCAGCUCUGGCCCACUUAGGGAAUAAAGAGGGGGCUGUUCCUGCCCUGCCAGGCGCCCCUCGGGCAGGAUGUGCCCGCCUGGCCCUGGGCACCUGGCUCUGCAGGCCGGGCUGCACCUGAGCCCUGCGGGGUGAGAGGGAGGGAGGAGGAAGGAGCGGCUGUGAGGGGAAAGGAGUGAUCAGGGAAAAUGAGUUUGGUGUGGUCAGAGCCUGUUCCACGGGCUGGGCAGGGCAGAGUCCAGGUGAGAGCUCAAGGUGUCCAGGUGUGUGUGCCGUGUCCAGGUGUGUCUGUGGCAGUGCCCAGGUGUUUGUGCAGUGCCCAGGUGAGUGUGCCGUGUCCCUCGGAGUGGCAGUGCCCAGGUGUGUGUGCCAUGCCCAGGUGUGUGUGCCAUGCCCAGGUGUGUCUGUGGCAGUGCCCAGGUGUGUGUGCCAUGUCCAGGUGUGUGUGCCAUGCCCAGGUGUGUCUGUGCCAUGCCCAGGUGUGUGUGCCAUGCCCAGGUGUGUGUGCCGCGUCCCCCUGUGCUCAGCCGCUCUCUCCCCGGCCGUGUCCCCGCUGUCCCUCCGUGCGCGGGGCUCUGGCACCUCCGUGUGGCAGAGCCGGGAACAGCCCCGAGCGCGGGGACAGCGACAGCGCUGGGGACAGUGCGAGGACAGGGACACUGCGGGGACUGCCACUGUGCUGGGGACACCGCGUGAACUGUCACCACGUUGGGGACACUGCAGGAGCCGCGGCCACCUGGGCUCGAGGCUGCACAAGGUGGGCACCAGCCUCUGUCCCCUUGUCCCUCUGUCCCCAAGCCGGGCUGAGGAUCCAAAUCUCAGCAGCACCAGCAUUCCAAUGCUGGGGACACUGCCAUGGUGACACUGCCGUGGGGACAUCCUUUAUCCCAGGGGACAUCCCUCCAGCCCCUCCCCUGCCCUUUGUCAGUGCUUUAUUUAUUCCCAACUCCCUGGGGAGGGACAGGGGUCCCUGGGGAUGGAAAGGGGUCCCCAGUGAGGGACAGGGGUCCCUGGGAAGGACAGGGGUCCCUGGGGAGGGGUCCCAGCUCCAGGGCUGGGCCAGGCUGUGCUGCAGAGGGACUGGAAGCAGAUGUGUCCCCUCCCCACAGCUGCAGCUCUUCCUGUGUCUCUCUUCCAUUUCUUUUCCUUUUGUUGUUGUUUCAUUUUGUUUUUUAAAGACUGUAAAUAUAGAUAGAGCUUUAUUUUGUUAA
rnacentral:lncRNA from 1 species